UGGAACAGGAGGUCAUGGAGGGUGAGAACCCCGUACAUGGCUUGGGCGUGAACAGCGGGGUGACGCAUCCUCUAAGAGUCGGGUUGUUUGGGAAUGCAGCUCAAAAUGGGUGGUAAAUUUCAUCUAAAGCUAAAUAUGGGCGAGAGACCGAUAGCAAACAAGUAGAGUGAUCGAAAGAUGAAAAGUACUUUGAAAAGAGAGUGAAACAGUACGUGAAAUUGUUGAAAGGGAAGCGUUUGGCAUCAGCCCAUGGCGGUGGUACGAACAUCCUUGCUUCGGUAUGGUGCACUCGUCCACCGUUGGGCCAGCGUCGGCUCUGCCUGCCAGAGAAAGGCCUUGGGGAAGUGGCUCUCCCUUCGGGGAGCGUGUUAUAACCCAUGGUGUCAUGUGGCUUAGGCGGGGCCGAGGUCCGCGGUUUUGUCCUAGGACGCUGGCGUAAUGGUUCCAAGCGACCCGUCUUGAAACACGGACCAAGGAGUCUAACAUCUAUGCGAGUGUUUGGGUGUCAAGCCCGACCGCGC
rnacentral:rRNA from 1 species